rnacentral:rRNA from 1 species
CAGCAGCCGCGGGAAUACGUAGGGUGCGAGCGUUAAUCGGAAUUACUGGGCGUAAAGCGUGCGCAGGCGGUUAUAUAAGACAGAUGUGAAAUCCCCGGGCUCAACCUGGGACCUGCAUUUGUGACUGUAUAGCUAGAGUACGGUAGAGGGGGAUGGAAUUCCGCGUGUAGCAGUGAAAUGCGUAGAUAUGCGGAGGAACACCGAUGGCGAAGGCAAUCCCCUGGACCUGUACUGACGCUCAUGCACGAAAGCGUGGGGAGCAAACAGGAUUAGAUACCCGCGUAGUCCCUGUCUCUUAUAC